rnacentral:rRNA from 1 species
UACGGGGGGGGCAAGCGUUGUUCGGAAUUACUGGGCGUAAAGGGCGCGUAGGCGGCCUGCUAAGUCGGAUGUGAAAUCCCUCGGCUCAACCGAGGAACUGCAUCCGAUACUGGCGGGCUUGAAUCCGGGAGAGGGAUGUGGAAUUCCAGGUGUAGCGGUGAAAUGCGUAGAUAUCUGGAGGAAUACCGGUGGCGAAGGCGGCAUCCUGGACCGACAUUGACGCUGAGGAGCGAAAGCCAGGGGAGCAAACGGG